AAAUUAGUUAGGAAGAAGAAUAAACACAACAAAGCAGCACCUCAUUCAUUCUUCCAUCGAACACAACACUGUCUCAACAACAGUAUCAUUAUAUACAUCAAUCAAUCUUCACUAUUCAUUCACUGCGGUUGAUUUCAGAUUGAGAUCAAAUAACCCUUUUUCCAAUUUCAUCAUCAACAACAAUUAUGGACUCUGAUUCAUCUUCUUCUCAUUGGAACACUCCUCUUUCCUCCUAUUCCUCCGUUACUUCCUCCAAAUCCUAUCUAUCCGCUCUUCAAUCCCGAUCAGAUAUGUUUAUGGCUGGUACUUUUGAUGAAAAUGAUGUUAUUGUUGUUGAUGAUAAUAAUAAUGAUGAUUUGAAGGAGGAGUUUUUAUGCCCUUUUUGUUCUGAAUAUUUUGAUAUUGUUGGAUUGUGCUGCCACAUUGAUCAAGACCAUCCACUUGAAG
rnacentral:lncRNA from 1 species